UUGAACACUGGCGGCAGGCCUAACACAUGCAAGUCGAGCGGAUGAAGGGAGCUUGCUCCUGGAUUCAGCGGCGGACGGGUGAGUAAUGCCUAGGAAUCUGCCUGGUAGUGGGGGAUAACGUCCGGAAACGGGCGCUAAUACCGCAUACGUCCUGAGGGAGAAAGUGGGGGAUCUUCGGACCUCACGCUAUCAGAUGAGCCUAGGUCGGAUUAGCUAGUUGGUGGGGUAAAGGCCUACCAAGGCGACGAUCCGUAACUGGUCUGAGAGGAUGAUCAGUCACACUGGAACUGAGACACGGUCCAGACUCCUACGGGAGGCAGCAGUGGGGAAUAUUGGACAAUGGGCGAAAGCCUGAUCCAGCCAUGCCGCGUGUGUGAAGAAGGUCUUCGGAUUGUAAAGCACUUUAAGUUGGGAGGAAGGGCAGUAAGUUAAUACCUUGCUGUUUUGACGUUACCAACAGAAUAAGCACCGGCUAACUUCGUG
rnacentral:rRNA from 1 species